CCUAAACCCCCCAAUCCUCCCUCUUCCUACUAGGAAGCAUCCCCCUCCUCCCCUCCCCCCCAUUUGUGUGUGAGCAUGCGGGCAGGCGAUACUCUUUUGUUUCAACCUGACCUCUACCUCAUGGUGACCCUAUCUUGGGGGGGGGAGGAGAGAAGACGGGGUGAAGGGGAGAAAGAGGUGAGGGUGAGGGGAGACUUCUGCAGACACAGCCCUUAUACAUCAAGGUGUGCGGUAAUCCCAGCACGCAAGGUUGCUUCUUCUUAACUCCUGCUUUCCGCUCCUUCUGCCUGUUCUCUUUCCUCCCUUCUGCUUUCUCCCUCUCCCUCUCUCCCCCUUGUUCACUCUCCUCUCUCUCUCUCUCUCUCUCUCUCUCUCUCUCUCUCUCUCUCUCUCAGUUGUAAGCUUUAAAGACCUCCCUCCCUUUGCUAAGUCUGCGCUGCAGCAGGAGGGCUGAGUGGUGGUGGUGUCUGGUGGGAGGGGAGGGGGAGCGGAGGGGAUACAGAGGUGCAUGUGGGGGAAGGGACCGUGCGUGUUAGGGGAAGAGACUGAGGAUUUGUUAGCCUGUUCUUCUUUCGUGUGUGUAUGUUUUCCCCCUCUCUCCAAGUGAGGACUAAUGCCAUCCCUGGGCCUGCUCUCUUUCCCUCCCUGCAUUAGAGGUUGCCUAUAGGAGGAAGCCGAUGGCUGCAGCAUCCAGCGCAUUAUUACCUUGCGAUGCCAUGACCCUCCUCCAUGCAUCCCUAACUCUUUAAAGCUGAUUCAGCUAGCGCUCUGGAGGCUCCCCUGCUGCAACAGAAUCUCCUCACUGGUAAACCGCAACCAUUCUCAACUGCUACAGAGUUCAACUGGAUGGCUUUUUCCCAACACUGAAAGAAAGAAAGUCAAGACAUUCUCUUUCUGGGGCUCUCCUCUUUGGGAGGCAGAAGAAAUUCUGGAUUUACUAGGUAAGAGCUUCUAUUUACAAUAUCUAGUUGCCUUUUUAAUAGCCUCUCUCUCCUCAGCCCCAGUUAAUUGCUGAAUGAAUCCUUUGUCUUUAACAGAAGAGUCUUCUAACCUCAGUAUGAAAAGGAGGCAGCUUGGUGUUGUUAUCUAAGUUGUAAACUGGACAUUUGAAUUCCAGAUGGACAAGCGCUAAGCUUUGCAGGAAAGAGGAAAGGAGCAGUCUUUAUUUUAUUCUUCUCUUUUUUCUAAGUCCUCGUCUGAGGAGUAGAAAGAAUUGUAAUUUUCUAGAAUUUCUGGAUCUUUUCUUUUAAACCUGUAUUUCUGAGUCCUUCUAAUUGUUAAUGUGGGAGUGAGGGUAGGGUGGGGUAAGCAUGGAGAGGAUGUGUUAUGGUCUAUGUAUAUUUUGUGUAUAUAUUCUGUGUGGUUAAAAGUUUCAGUACGAAAUGUGUGUACUUUUCAGGGGGGAAUAAGAGGUUUUGUCAUGUUUCUCAUCCUAUUUAUGUGAAAAUUAGUUAUGAAGGGGACAAACUGCUGGAUUUCUCAUACUUCUGUCAAAGGCAACACCUUCCUAUUUCUCAUGACUAUGUAUGUAUGUUAGGACACAGAGACAUAUAGACAUAAGAAAAAAAGAAAGUGAAAGAAUAACUGAUUUAUUGGAGAAAAGAAAAGGGUGUGUGUGUGUGUGUGUGUGUGUGUGUGUGUAGCAGGAGGUUUUGAGGAAGAUGUCAUGAAAAUGGGGCAGUAACUCAGCAUCAUUAACCCAAGCCACCACUAAGUACACAUGGGGUUUGAAUUCCAAAGCAGUUUGCUGUGUUCCUCUUCAAACAUAUAAAUGCGCAUAUUGAAAACUACCUGCUUGAGAAACAUACUACUUUAUAUGCCCAUAUGAACGUGCUAAGCUAUGGAAUGUAAAGAAGUAUGUAUUUCCGGUAGGGCAUCUCUCUCAUGGGAGCAGGGUGACCUGUGUUCAAGGGAGAAAGAGACAGACAGAUUUUGUUUUUGGAAUGCCUGACAUGGCAGACUGACUGGGGAGUCAAUUGAUGAUGGUGUUCCAGUGGCUGUAUUGUUCUGUCACUUUGCCUGUGUCAGCAGGUGGAAAUGCUCAUCAGGACAUUAAAUAUUCAACGUGCUGACUGCGGCAGGCGCUUGGAAAGGCAACACCAGAAGAAAGCCCGUUGUCCGCUUCUGGUGUGUGCAGGGGCUCAGGUCAAGUGCUAGAUCUUGGGGGCUUGCAGGUUCCUGUCGUCUUCUUCCCUAUCCCCUCCUACUUUUUAGCCUAUAGAAGUCUAGGCAUUAGCAGAGUGGGGUGAAUUCUUCAAUUAGUGGGAGAAAUGUAGAAUAUAGAGUCAAACAGAAAAGGGAAUAAAGUGGAGAGAGAGAGAGAGAGAGAGAGAGAGAGAGAGAGAGAGAGAGAGAGAGAGAGAGAGAGAGAGAAGUCAAAGAGUUUCAAAACCCAGAGCAAUGUGUACUUAUGCCUUUUACUCUUAACAUUUUCAGACAUGAUCACUUUUCACCCUGGCAAAGACCCAACACAAAUGAGUUGUGCCACUUAAUGUCACACCUACCAUACACUAGAAGGAAGUGAUUAGGGAACCUAACACCCACAACCUCCAGAGUUUCUAGCUAAGACUCAAUCACAUCUAACUGUGUACUAAUCACUGUACAAAUCAUUGCUUUUUAAAAAGCAUUGUCAUUUUUCACUAUAUAUAUAUAUAUAUAUAUAUCCUAUAGGGACACUAUUAGGGAAUACUCAAGACAGCUCAGAAGAAUCUUAGCCAUACACAGGAGCCUGAACUCCAGUAUUCUGAAACUUUUUUAGACAAGAGUAUUCUAAAUCUAGAGCUUCCAAAAUGAUUUUCUCUCUACAUUUCCCCAGAUUAAACUGAGGUUGAUUUUUCCCCCACCAACAAAGUAUGGUGAGCCUUGCUUUCAUUGGAAUCAGUUUGGAAUGAUGUAAAAUCUAAAGUAAUGUUCCACACUCGGUGUGAAGAUGCUGUCCUCAAAUAUUGAUUGCCCCAGCAUAUAUUGAGACAAGGAGAGAGAGAGAGAGAGAGAGAGAGAGAGAGAGAGAGAGAGAGAGAGA